rnacentral:rRNA from 1 species
UACGAAGGGUGCAAGCGUUGUUCGGAUUUAUUGGGCGUAAAGCGCGCGCAGGCGGAUCAGCAAGUCAGAUGUGAAAUCUCGGAGCUCAACUCCGAAACUGCGUCUGAAACUACUAGUCUAGAAUAUCGGAGGGGGCAGGGGAAUUUCACGUGUAGGGGUAAAAUCCGUAGAGAUGUGAAGGAACACCAGGGGCGAAGGCGCCUGCCUGGACGAUUAUUGACGCUGAGGCGCGAAAGCGUGGGGAGCAAACAGG